CGAACCGGGGGAACUGAAACAUCUAAGUACCCCGAGGAAAAGAAAUCAACCGAGAUUCCGAAAGUAGCGGCGAGCGAAAUUGGACUAGCCCUUAAGCUUUACACGCGUUAGACGAACGGUCUGGAAAGUCCGACGAUACAGGGUGAUAGUCCCGUAGUUGACGACGUGUGUUCAGUGAAAUCGAGUAGGGCGGGACACGUGAUAUCCUGUCUGAAUAUGGGGGGACCAUCCUCCAAGGCUAAAUACUACUGACUGACCGAUAGUGAACCAGUACCGUGAGGGAAAGGCGAAAAGAACCCCUGUGAGGGGAGUGAAAUAGAACCUGAAACCGUGUACGUACAAGCAGUAGGAGCAGGCUUUGUCCUGUGACUGCGUACCUUUUGUAUAAUGGGUCAGCGACUUAUAUUCAGUGGCAAGGUUAACCAUCUAGGGGAGCCGUAGGGAAACCGAGUCUUAACUGGGCGUUCAGUCUCUGGAUAUAGACCCGAAACCAGGUGAUCUAGCCAUGGGCAGGUUGAAGGUUGAGUAACAUCAACUGGAGGACCGAACCGACUAAUGUUGAAAAAUUAGCGGAUGACUUGUGGCUAGGGGUGAAAGGCCAAUCAAACCUGGAGAUAGCUGGUUCUCCCCGAAAGCUAUUUAGGUAGCGCCUCGGACGAAUACUACUGGGGGUAGAGCACUGUUAAGGCUAGGGGGUCAUCCCGACUUACCAACCCUUUGCAAACUCCGAAUACCAGUAAGUACUAUCCGGGAGACACACGGCGGGUGCUAACGUCCGUCGUGGAGAGGGAAACAACCCAGACCGCCAGCUAAGGUCCCAAAUUACUACUAAGUGGGAAACGAUGUGGGAAGGCUCAGACAGCCAGGAUGUUGGCUUAGAAGCAGCCAUCAUUUAAAGAAAGCGUAAUAGCUCACUGGUCGAGUCGGCCUGCGCGGAAGAUGUAACGGGGCUAAGUAGUAAACCGAAGCUGCGGCAAUGUGCUUUUGCACAUUGGGUAGGGGAGCGUUCUGUAAGCGGUUGAAGGUGUGUGGUAACGCAUGCUGGACGUAUCAGAAGUGCGAAUGCUGACAUGAGUAACGAUAAAGGGGGUGAAAAACCUCCUCGCCGGAAGACCAAGGGUUCCUGUCCAACGUUAAUCGGGGCAGGGUAAGUCGACCCCUAAGGCGAGGCCGAAAGGCGUAGUCGAUGGGAAACGGGUUAAUAUUCCCGUACUUCUUACAAUUGCGAUGGGGGGACGGAGAAGGCUAGGUGGGCCUGGCGACGGUUGUCCAGGUUCAAGUGCGUAGGCUUAAGAGUUAGGUAAAUCCGGCUCUUUUUAAG
rnacentral:rRNA from 1 species